GAUGAACGCUGGCGGCGUGCCUAACACAUGCAAGUCGAACGGAGAUUACAGACGGAAGUUUUCGGAUGGAAGUCAGUAAUUCUUAGUGGCGGACGGGUGAGUAACGCGUGGGCAACCUGCCCUAUACAGGGGGAUAGCAGCUGGAAACGGCUGGUAAGACCGCAUAAGUCGUUCUGGUCGCAUGACCGGGACGGGAAAUGAGUAAUCAGGUAUAGGAUGGGCCCGCGUCCGAUUAGCCAGUUGGCAGGGUAAGAGCCUACCAAAGCAACGAUCGGUAGCCGGACUGAGAGGUCGGACGGCCACAUUGGGACUGAGACACGGCCCAAACUCCUACGGGAGGCAGCAGUGGGGGAUAUUGCACAAUGGAGGAAACUCUGAUGCAGCGACGCCGCGUGAGUGAAGAAGUAUUUCGGUAUGUAAAGCUCUAUCAGCAGGGAAGAUG
rnacentral:rRNA from 1 species